GUUUGUCGCGUUGUUCGUGAAAUCUCACGGCUUAACUGUGAGCGUGCGGGCGAUACGGGCAGACUUGAGUACUGCAGGGGAGACUGGAAUUCCUGGUGUAGCGGUGGAAUGCGCAGAUAUCAGGAGGAACACCGGUGGCGAAGGCGGGUCUCUGGGCAGUAACUGACGCUGAGGAGCGAAAGCGUGGGGAGCGAACAGGAUUAGAUACCCUGGUAGUCCACGCCGUAAACGGUGGGUACUAGGUGUGGGUUUCCUUCCUUGGGAUCCGUGCCGUAGCUAACGCAUUAAGUACCCCGCCUGGGGAGUACGGCCGCAAGGCUAAAACUCAAAGAAAUUGACGGGGGCCCGCACAAGCGGCGGAGCAUGUGGAUUAAUUCGAUGCAACGCGAAGAACCUUACCUGGGUUUGACAUGCACAGGACACCGGCAGAGAUGUCGGUUCCCUUGUGGCCUGUGUGCAGGUGGUGCAUGGCUGUCGUCAGCUCGUGUCGUGAGAUGUUGGGUUAAGUCCCGCAACGAGCGCAACCCUUGUCUCAUGUUGCCAGCGGGUAAUGCCGGGGACUCGUGAGAGACUGCCGGGGUCAACUCGGAGGAAGGUGGGGAUGACGUCAAGUCAUCAUGCCCCUUAUGUCCAGGGCUUCACACAUGC
rnacentral:rRNA from 1 species